AUCCAACUUCCCAUUUUUCUUGCCCACUUCUAUAUAUUGGUUUUCUUUAAAAUCAUAAACUUCAUUAGACAAGUUGUUUACAAAAUAGAUUCCAAAUUUGCCUCAAGAAGAAAUUUUGUUUUCUUUCUCCAAGAUCAUCAUCGAAUCAGAUGAUUUACCAGAGGAGGAAAAUUCAGUUAUUUAUUAUUUACUGCAAUUCUGAUUUAUGUCAUUAUCUUUGCAAUUUGCAAUGAAAUAAUUCAUUUAAAUAGAA